CUGUGGGCUGGCUGGCUGGCUGCACCACACGCUGUGAACCGGGAGGGCUGAGUGGAGGCCAGGGAGUCUGAGAAUAUCUUCAGGGUGAGAUAUUUGAUUACACAAGGGAGAGGAGAUGAUUGCCAGUCCUCCCAUCUGGAGAAAUGUUUCUGGGUGGCAGGAGCUAAGGAUAGGGUGAAAGAAAGUGACCCAGUGAGGAGAGUGGGGUGAGGCAAGGAGAGGGGCUGGGCGGGUGUGUGUCAGCUCCAGGAGGCUGGCCCUGCCUUUGCCCUGUGUCCAUCUGACACUGAACGGAAUAUGACCCAGUGCUUGCGGGGCUGAGUCAGAGCUCUUUCCACUGCUCUGCAGCUCACUCUCCUCAUGCUUACCUGGACAAACCCACUUCUGGCCACACUGGCUGGAGCAUUAACCUAUGGGUCUUCCUCAGAUGAUGGAGUUGAGGGAAAGGCAGGCUUUUCUUCUGAAGUCAAGUUCCUAGUGGGGUAGGCUUACUUUGUGCCUGACCCAUGCUUCUUCGAGACAAUUGCCCCAGUGAAACACCUCACCAAAGCAGCUUGUGGCAGACUCCCAUGGAGGAUCAACACAGUGGCUGAACACUGGGAAGGAACUGGCACUUGGAGUCCAGACAUCUGAAACUUGGACAUGGGGAGAGAAAGUGCUAAAGCAUACUUUUAAUUGUGCUGGUUCUGGAGUUUGGAAGAGCCUGUCCAAAGAACAAGCUGGACAUGAAUAACGUAUGACUUGUUCGGCCAAAAGCCCCACCACAAAAACCUCAUGGAGCUUGCUAUACAUUCUUUUCCAAAUAUCAACUCCGAUUAAAAGGACUGUCUGACCCACUGACAAUUAUUCAUUGGCUUCUGUACAGUGUAUUAUUGUAUGGCGCUUCCUCGGAACUAUAAUUAGGUGAUUGUGUAAGGAGUCCACAGUGCACAUUUGAAUAGUGACUCUGUUUGGAUCAUGAUGUCACUCACUCUGGUCCCCUCUCAUCAUAUGGCUGUGGAUGUGGUGUGGUUGAAUUCAAUACAUGUGAAAUCAGACCUUCAUUGAGUUUUCUUUUUUUUUUCUGAGAUGGAGUCUUGCUCUGUCACCCAGGCUGGAGUGCAGUGG